AGAUUGAACGCUGGCGGCAGGCCUAACACAUGCAAGUCGAGCGGUAGAGAGGUGCUUGCACCUCUUGAGAGCGGCGGACGGGUGAGUAAUGCCUAGGAAUCUGCCUAGUGGUGGGGAUAACGUUCGGAAGGACGCUAAUACCGCAUACGUUCCACGGGAGAAAGC
rnacentral:rRNA from 1 species